UACAGAGGUCUCAAGCGUUGUUCGGAUUCAUUGGGCGGAAAGGGUGCGUAGGCGGCGCGGUAAGUCGGGUGUGAAAUCUCGGGGCUUAACUCCGAAACUGCAUUCGAUACUGCCGUGCUUGAGGACUGGAGAGGAGACUGGAAUUUACGGUGUAGCGGUGAAAUGCGUAGAUAUCGUAAGGAAGACCAGUGGCGAAGGCGGGUCUCUGGACAGUUCCUGACGCUGAGGCACGAAGGCCAGGGGAGCAAACAGG
rnacentral:rRNA from 1 species